AUUGAACGCUGGCGGCAUGCCUUACACAUGCAAGUCGAACGGCAGCACGGGAGCAAUCCUGGUGGCGAGUGGCGAACGGGUGAGUAAUAUAUCGGAACGUGCCCAGUAGUGGGGGAUAACUGCUCGAAAGAGCAGCUAAUACCGCAUACGACCUGAGGGUGAAAGGGGGGGAUCGCAAGACCUCUCGCUAUUGGAGCGGCCGAUAUCAGAUUAGCUAGUUGGUGGGGUAAAGGCCUACCAAGGCAACGAUCUGUAGUUGGUCUGAGAGGACGACCAGCCACACUGGGACUGAGACACGGCCCAGACUCCUACGGGAGGCAGCAGUGGGGAAUUUUGGACAAUGGGCGCAAGCCUGAUCCAGCAAUGCCGCGUGCAGGAAGAAGG
rnacentral:rRNA from 1 species